rnacentral:lncRNA from 1 species
GCUCAGCCGGACCGUCCCGCUGCCGCCCCGCCCGCCGCAGCUCCCACCGCUGAAAUUUGCUCCGGUCCCUUAAUUGUUUCGCUCUCACCGAGAACUUUGUUUACAGUCCCUUGUACGCCGAGCUGCAUCCCCUCUUAAGCUGGCUGUGGGCCGCAGUCCCGCCCGGAGGCCGGGAGGAAACUUCCAUGCUAGAAUAUUUUCACCUCCAGUUCAUCAAUCAGCAAUAUCUGAUGCUUCAAAGACUCGAGCAGCUCUUUCUACCUUGAAUUGUCACACAAGACGUCUUCAGCACUCUUUGACCAUGGAUUUCUCCUGGAUCUGUGCAGCACGAGCUCAGCAGAGCCUGCUCUAGCCUAAGAACGG